rnacentral:rRNA from 1 species
CAAUAGCGUAUAUUAACGUUGUUGCAGUUAAAAAGCUCGUAGUUGGAUUUCUGGAGGGAGCGUCGGCCCGUAUUUACGAGUGCGUGACGUCUCUGUCCAUCCUUGCGGGAAGGCACGGCAUUGAUUUGUUGUGUCGGAUCGCAUCAUUUACUGUGAAAAAAUUAGAGUGUUCAAAGCAGGCUUUCGCUUGAAUACAUUAGCAUGGAAUAAUAAGAUAGGACUUUGGUGCUAUUUUGUUGGUUGAGCCUAAAGUAAUGAUUAAUAGGGAUAGUUGGGGGCACCUGUAUAGCGUUGUCAGAGGUGAAAUUCUUGGAUUUACGCAAGACAAACAGCUGCGAAAGCGUCUGCCAAGGAUGUUUUCAUUAA